rnacentral:tRNA from 1 species
GGAGGCGUGGCCGAGUGGUUUAAGGCACUGGUCUUGAAAACCAGCGAAGGGGCAACUCUUCCGUGAGUUCGAAUCUCACCACCUCCGCCA